rfam:Medicago truncatula strain A17 chromosome 1, whole genome shotgun sequence.
GCUGAGACUCAGCUGCUGACUCGUUGGUUCAAUAGCUCACAACAUGCAUAGUGUCAACGUGUGUGCUUCUGAUCCAACGAUGCGGGAGCUGCAUUCCAGUCG